CAGGACUUGAAAGGAAGGAAACGGGAUUUCUGCAGGGUCUGCUUAACUAAACGGAUUCAUAAGCGAGAUGUUGGUGGUGCUAUUUCGUGAUGAACCAGGCUGGAAUCUCCUCAGAAUUUCCUGAGAACAGCAAUGGUAGAGAUUUCCCAGCACACAAGAUGGCGGGCGAUGGAGACACGGAGAGCGUCAGCACACACUGGACAGGAGCAGAGAGAGGAGAGGAAGGGAUGAGGAUGACACACUGUGAUCCAG
rnacentral:lncRNA from 1 species